UAGGGAAUCUUCGGCAAUGGGGGGAACCCUGACCGAGCAACGCCGCGUGAGUGAAGAAGGUUUUCGGAUCGUAAAGCUCUGUUGUUAAGGAAGAACGAGUGUGAGAAUGGAAAGUUCAUGCUGUGACGGUACUUAACCAGAAAGGGACGGCUAACUACGUGCCAGCAGCCGCGGUAAUACGUAGGUCCCGAGCGUUGUCCGGAUUUAUUGGGCGUAAAGCGAGCGCAGGCGGUUAGAAAAGUCUGAAGUGAAAGGCAGUGGCUCAACCAUUGUAGGCUUUGGAAACUGUUUAACUUGAGUGCAGAAGGAGAGGGUGGAAUUCCAUGUGUAGCGGUGAAAUGCGUAGAUAUAUGGAGGAACACCGGUGGCGAAAGCGGCUCUCUGGUCUGUAACUGACGCUGAGGCUCGAAAGAGUGGGGAGCGAACAGG
rnacentral:rRNA from 1 species